rnacentral:rRNA from 1 species
AGAGUUUGAUCCUGGCUCAGGAUGAACGCUAGCGACAGGCUUAACACAUGCAAGUCGAGGGGCAGCGAGGGAGUGGCAACACUUCUGUCGGCGACCGGCGCACGGGUGAGUAACGCGUAUGCAACCUGCCCUUCACAGGGGGAUAACCGGGAGAAAUUCCGACUAAUACCGCAUACGUCCUCCGGGGGCAUCCCCGGGGGAUGAAAGAUUUAUCGGUGAAGGAUGGGCAUGCGUGAUAUUAGGUAGUUGGCGGGGCAACGGCCCACCAAGCCCACGAUAUCUAGGGGUUCUGAGAGGAAGGUCCCCCACAUUGGUACUGAGACACGGACCAAACUCCUACGGGAGGCAGCAGUGAGGAAUAUUGGUCAAUGGACGAGAGUCUGAACCAGCCAAGUAGCGUGAAGGAUGAAGGUCCUACGGAUUGUAAACUUCUUUUAUAAGGGAAUAAACCCUCCCACGUGUGGGAGCUUGUAUGUACCUUAUGAAUAAGCAUCGGCUAACUCCGUGCCAGCAGCCGCGGUAAUACGGAGGAUGCGAGCGUUAUCCGGAUUUAUUGGGUUUAAAGGGAGCGCAGACGGGUCGUUAAGUCAGCUGUGAAAGUUUGGGGCUCAACCUUAAAAUUGCAGUUGAUACUGGCGUCCUUGAGUGCGGUUGAGGUGUGCGGAAUUCGUGGUGUAGCGGUGAAAUGCUUAGAUAUCACGAAGAACUCCGAUUGCGAAGGCAGCACACUAAUCCGUAACUGACGUUCAUGCUCGAAAGUGUGGGUAUCAAACAGGAUUAGAUACCCUGGUAGUCCACACGGUAAACGAUGGAUACUCGCUGUUGGCGAUAUACUGUCAGCGGCUUAGCGAAAGCGUUAAGUAUCCCACCUGGGGAGUACGCCGGCAACGGUGAAACUCAAAGGAAU